rnacentral:tRNA from 1 species
GCCUUCUUAGCACAACUGGUGGUGCAGCUGAUUUGUAAUCAGCAGGUUAUAGGUUCAAAUCCUAUAGAAGGCUCA